rnacentral:rRNA from 1 species
GACGAACGCUGGCGGCGCGCCUAACACAUGCAAGUCGAACGAGCGAGAGAGAGCUUGCUUUCUCGAGCGAGUGGCGAACGGGUGAGUAACGCGUGAGGAACCUGCCUCAAAGAGGGGGACAACAGUUGGAAACGACUGCUAAUACCGCAUAAGCCCACGGUGCCGCAUGGCACAGAGGGAAAAGGAGCAAUCCGCUUUGAGAUGGCCUCGCGUCCGAUUAGCUAGUUGGUGAGGUAAUGGCCCACCAAGGCGACGAUCGGUAGCCGGACUGAGAGGUUGAACGGCCACAUUGGGACUGAGACACGGCCCAGACUCCUACGGGAGGCAGCAGUGGGGAAUAUUGCACAAUGGGGGAAACCCUGAUGCAGCGACGCCGCGUGGAGGAAGAAGGUCUUCGGAUUGUAAACUCCUGUUGUUGGGGAAGAUAAUGGCGGUACCCAACAAGGAAGUGACGGCUAACUACGUG